CCUACGGGAGGCAGCAGUGAGGAAUAUUGGUCAAUGGGCGCGAGCCUGAACCAGCCAAGUAGCGUGAAGGAUGACUGCCCUACGGGUUGUAAACUGCUUUUAGUUGGGAAUAAAAGGGGGCUCGUGAGCCCCGUAUUGUAUGUACCAUCAGAAAAAGGACCGGCUAAUUCCGUGCCAGCAGCCGCGGUAAUACGGAAGGUCCGGGCGUUAUCCGGAUUUAUUGGGUUUAAAGGGUGCGUAGGCGGAAUAUCAAGUCAGCGGUAAAAAUUCGGGGCUCAACCCCGUCGUGCCGUUGAAACUGAUGUUCUUGAGUGGGCGAGAAGUAUGCGGAAUGCGUGGUGUAGCGGUGAAAUGCAUAGAUAUCACGCAGAACUCCGAUUGCGAAGGCAGCAUACCGGCGCCCAACUGACGCUGAAGCACGAAAGCGUGGGUAUCGAACAGGAUUAGAUACCCGUGUAGUC
rnacentral:rRNA from 1 species